CUAAAUACUACCCAGUGACCGAUAGCGUAUAGUACUGUGAAGGAAAGGUGAAAAGGACCCCGGGAGGGGAGUGAAAUAGAACCUGAAACCUUGUGCCUACAAGCACAUAGAGCACAUCAACGUGUGAUAUGGUACUUUUUGUAGAACGGUCCGGCGAGCGAUUGUAUGUUGCGAGCUUAAGGUCUUAAGGACUGGAGGCGCAGCGAGAGCGAGUCUGAAGAGGGCGUUCAGUAACAUGCAAUGGGCCCGAAACCGGGUGACCUACCCAUGAUCAGGCUGAAGUGAAAGUAAAAUUUCAUGGAGGGCCGAACCGACCUCCGUUGAAAAGGCGGCGGAUGAAUUGUGGGUAGCGGAGAAAUUCCAAUCGAACUCGGAGAUAGCUGGUUCUCCCCGAAAUAGCUUUAGGGCUAGCCUCAUAUUAGAUACCCGGAGGUAAAGCACUGAAUGGCCUAGCGCCCGAGAGGGUAGCGAAGCCUAUCAAACUAAGAAUGCCGGAGUAUUGAUGUAUGGGAGUCAGACAGUGUGAGAUAAAUCUCAUUGUCAAAAGGGAAACAGCCCAGAUCUACAGCUAAGGUCCCAAAUUGUAUCUAAGUGGAAAACGAUGUGGAAAUACGCAGACAACCAGGAUGUUGGCUCAGAAGCAGCCACUCAUUUAAAGAGUGCGUAAUAGCUCACUGGUCGAGCGUCUCUGCGCGGAAAAUUUAACGGGGCUAAGAUACAAACCGAAGCUUAGGCUGCACGUAAGUGCGGGGUAGGGGAGCGUUGUGUAAGCGGAGAAACAGUAGCGUAAGCGGCUGUGGAGUUUACAGAAGUGAGAAUGCCGGAAUGAGUAGCGCGAAUGUGGUGAGAAUCCACAUGGCCGGAAACCUCAGGUUUUUGGAGGAAGGUUCGUCCGCUCCAAGUUAGGCGGGAGCUAAGGUCAGGCCGAAAGGCGUAGCCGAUGCACAGACGGUAGAGAUUCCGUCCCCACCGAAAGAUUUAAGCACAGGGACACUUUUUGAAGGUCGGAGCCAGGUGUUGGUUCUGGUAGAGAUCGAGGGAAAUAUAGUACCGAAGUCCGGCUGGAUGAGAGGCGAGAAAAGCUGUGUGUAUAUCUAAGGUGCCCGUACCGCAAACCGACACAGGUAGGUAGGAAGAAGAUUCUAAGGCCAACGGGAGAAGGGUUGUUAAGGAACUCGGCAAAUUGACCCCGUAACUUCGGGAGAAGGGGUGCUCCAGAGAUGGAGCCGCAGAGAAUCGGCCCAAGCAACUGUUUACCAAAAACACAGGUUUGUGCUAAAUCGAAAGAUGACGUAUACGAGCUGACGCCUGCCCGGUGCUGGAAGGUUAAGAGGAGAUGUGCAAGCAUUGAAUCGAAGCCCCAGUGAACGGCGGCCGUAACUAUAACGGUCCUAAGGUAGCGAAAUUCCUUGUCAGGUAAG
rnacentral:rRNA from 1 species